AGAGUUUGAUCAUGGCUCAGAACGAACGCUGGCGGCGUGCCUAACACAUGCAAGUCGAGCGAGAAAGGGGUAGCAAUACCCCGAGUAAAGCGGCGCACGGGUGAGUAACACGUAGGUAACCUACCUCUAAGACCGGGAUAACCCGUCGAAAGAUGGGCUAAUACCAGAUAAGACCACAGUCCCCACGGGGACAGGGAUCAAAGGUGGCCUCUGCAUGCAAGCUAUCACUUAGAGAUGGGCCUGCGUACCAUUAGCUAGUUGGUAGGGUAACGGCCUACCAAGGCAAAGAUGGUUAGCUGGUCUGAGAGGAUGACCAGCCACACUGGAACUGAGACACGGUCCAGACUCCUACGGGAGGCAGCAGUGGGGAAUCUUGCGCAAUGGGCGAAAGCCUGACGCAGCAACGCCGUGUGGGUGAUGAAGGCCUUCGGGUCGUAAAGCCCUGUCGGAAGGAACGAAUGUUUUCGUCGUGAAUAACGACGGAGAGUGACGGUACCUUCAAAGGAAGCACCGGCUAACUCCGUGCCAGCAGCCGCGGUAAUACGGAGGGUGCGAGCGUUGUUCGGAAUCAUUGGGCGUAAAGGGCGUGUAGGUGGUCUGUUAAGUCAUGUGUGAAAGCCCCCGGCUCAACCGGGGAAGUGCGCAUGAAACUGACAAGCUAGAGUACCAAAGAGGAGGGUGGAAUUCCCGGUGUAGCGGUGAAAUGCGUAGAUAUCGGGAGGAACACCGGUGGCGAAGGCGGCCCUCUGGUUGGAUACUGACGCUAAAACGCGAAAGCGUGGGGAGCAAACAGAAUUAGAUACCCUGGUAGUCCACGCUGUAAACGAUGGGCACUAGGUGUCCGGGGUAUUGACCCCCUGGGUGCCGCAGCUAACGCAUUAAGUGCCCCGCCUGGGGAGUACGGUCGCAAGAUUAAAACUCAAAGGAAUUGACGG
rnacentral:rRNA from 1 species